UGGGAUAUGUGAACCUUUACGAAACUCAAAAAAAAGAAACAUGUCAGAACACCAAAUCAGGGUGCAAUCGAAGAUUACACCGGAGAAAUAUCACAACAAUAAAUAGGAUAGGAUGAAUAAUGCAUGGCUAUGAUAACAUAAAAAAAAACAGAAUAGAAAAAGUCAGCUACUGUCUCGUUCGCCUCUGCCUCGCCUAGCGAAGGCCAGGCGAAUACUCGCCCCAGGCUCGCCUAGCGAGGUGCUAGCGAGCGGCCACGGAUUUUGAAUUUGAAAACAGCCCC
rnacentral:lncRNA from 1 species